GUGUAAGUUCCUCAUACGGACUCAUUAGUACUUAACAUAUAUAAAUUAUAACUUAAUUUCAGUAUAAGAAAACCAAAAGGAAUCGUCAACACGACUAAACGUGAAGAUUCCCUUCAUUAUUACGGGAAGAAUCUAAGACUUCAAAAACGUGUUUUCUAAUUCUUUUCAGAAAAAAAAUGGGAAACGAAAACUCCGUGCCAGUAGUUUCUCAGUAUAAGUCCCUAUGCCAAGCUCUUGCUGGCGAUGUUGAGGGAGCCCAGAGAACACAGGAGGAAUUUUCCAAGCGAUGUCCAAUCGUCUCCCAAGCUCGAUCUGCCGUAGAGGCAAUAUGUGGUAACGAAGAGGCGGCGGUAGAGACGCAGGUAGAAUUCGUCAGAGGAAUAGUCGAGAGUGCGAGAGGUUUCAGUGGUACUCACGCGUCAUCGAAAAAUGCUAUUUGUAAAAACUAAAUCUGGUAAUUUCCGCAGGAAUUUGUUGAAUGAAGGAACAAAUUAAUAUCCUUAAUGAAACUUUGUGAGACAACUUUACUGUUCUUUCUUGCGUUUGAUGAUUAAUUAUAUUUUUUUGUUUUCAAUUCAAUUUAACCAUGUUUUUUGCUGGAAAUUAAGUUUUGCUUGCUUAUAAAAGAAAGAUUUUUGUUGAA